UCUAUCACGGAUCGCAUAACAUGGGCCU
rnacentral:sRNA from 1 species